CCCCCCCCCCCCCCCCCCCUUAAAUGAUCAUCCAAAUUCCUUCUACAAGUUUUAAGUUUUAAUCUUUAUGCUUUGUUUUCAAAAAACAUGAUUAGUAAGUUGAAGCUUUCAUCCUUGUAAGUAUUAGCAAUCAUCAUCAAAUCUACAAAAACCUCAACUUUAUACAAGUUCAAGGAUGUUUGGGCAAGUGCAAACCCUUUUCCAAACUAGAACACAUGAGAAUUUCAAUUUCUAUCAUCAAUACUCAAGUUCUAUAUUCAAUGAUGUUUAAGUGAGAUCAACUUCUCCUUAAACUAGAAUCAAUUUCAAGUCAUGGAGCAUAUUAAAGGUGAGGCCUUUUAACAUGGAAAGGUCUAAUCUUUAAGAUCCAAAACUCCUAAUAUCAAUAUUCAAGUUCAAUAUUCAAGUUCUACAUUCAAUUUCAAGUUUCAUUUAAAAUUCUAUGUUCAAAAUCAAUGACGCUUCAAGAUGAGCAACUCAUCUAAAGUUAAGAUUUUCUAGAGAAUUGAAUCUGUGUCGGACGCACUUAUUAUUAAGAAGUUUUUUGGCGUUCGGAUUUCAAAUACGAUAGUACAAUUUCCAUACCACCAUUUCAAUAUCGCACUUUCAAUAUUGCACCUUCAAUAUCUCACUUUCAAUUCCGCACUUUUAAUAUCGUAGUUUCAAUAUCGCAAUUUCAAUACCGCAAUUUCAAUUCCGCAAUUUCGAUUCCGCACUCUUUACUCGUCUUUUCAAGGCGAUGUGGUUUUGUACGGAUUUUGAUAAUUCCUUUAUUUUGUGAUGAUGCUUUACAUUUUUAUCGCUUUCAUCACCUAACAUGUUAAAUACAACAAUAUACAAAGGUUACAUCACGCUUAACAAAGAUAAUUUUUGGACAAACCGGCCUUAGGUUCCCUUAUUUAACUUUAAAGCAAAGUGACCACGUACAAGUAGCAAUUUCAAUGUUCUAAAAUGCAUGAUUCAACCUAGUGCCAUGAUUAGGAUUUCACGAAAACGAUCCUUGUCUGUAUUCGAAUGUAUUUUUAAAGCUUGCCAAAAUAAGCGGUUCAUUCCCGUACCCGAAUCUCACACAUUCAUAUUCAAGAUUCAAUGCCUUAUCCAAAGGAGUCAAUUUUUGGUCAUUCCAAACCUGACCCUUAAAAUGUUUGGUGGAGACUCCUUCAAGUUCAAAUUUUUAAAAGUCGUAGGGAAAGUCCAUAUACAAAAAAAAUCCCCCUACAAUCUGGCGACUCCGCUAUGGAGUUCUAAAUUUCAAAUUCGAGUAUACGAGCAACUUAUAAGCAAUCUGCCACUGCUACGCUCAAGUUUUGGAUGCCAGAAGUAGCGUUGGUCGCAGGCCUUGCGUCGGCGCUGCUGCCUGCUUUCAGCAUAGUGGCUUCCAGUGGCUGGUUGCCCAUUCUGCCCAAAUAUUCGAGUGGGAGUUUAGCUCAGAUUUUGAACUUCAAAAGAUCGCUCCCAAACUUUGAGAACGAACGCUGAAAGGUAAGAUUUUAAAAUACAACAUUCAAAUACAAUUGUGAUUCUAGGCAUCUCGUGCAUGUUUUCGAAAAUACAAUUUGUGCAAAACGAAUUUCUACCUUUCCAAACAUGAAUGUGUUCUACAUUCGGGUUAGCCCCGGAGGUAAAGGAGUGGUCACUCUCCAUACGGUUCCUAACCAAAGUGUUUGACCACUUCCGAGCCCACCGAACCUUGACAUUUUCUUGGUGUUCCUGACAUCUUGCAUGGAGGCCGUCUGCCAACAAACACUUCCCCAAGGUGGAGGUAAAACGAUUGUUGCCGGAUCCGCUUCUUAUUCAAGGACCUUUUGCCUCCUAAGUCGACCACUUGCAUCAUGCAAAACUUAGACCGACCUUAGGUUGAGAACUUUGCAUGUCGCAUUCAUAUUCAUGUUAGUGUGACAACGUGCUAUUUGUGCAUUGUGUUGGCGUCUUUGCACGCGUGAAUGACUAACCUCGAGUUCUAGCUUUGCCAAAACCAUUAGCCUCCAACUAGGAAACCUAACCCCUAGGAGCAUCAUUCAAACCUCAUGCAUCUAAAAUCGCCAAUUUAGGGUCUUCUAGGAGUGCCACUCCAUUUGAUUCAAAACCCCUAAACACGCCUCACGCACAAAUUCCAAUCCAACGGCGUCAUAAUGCAGGAUUUCCAAGUCAAAUUUCCAAAUCCAAGUUUUAAAAUUCCAAUCCAUCGGCGUCAUAAUGUCGGGUUUCCAAGUCCAAGUUCCAAAAAUCCAAUCCAAACGGCGUCGUAAUCCCGGAUUUUCGAGUCAAAUUUCCGAGUCAAGUCCUAUGUCCAAAACCCUAAGUUCAAAUGUCCAAAUCUAUGGUGGCGUAAUGCCGAUUUUCAAAUCCUGACUCAAAACCUUUCAAGAAUCAGGUUCCAGCUUCAAAUGCCCCAAACCUAUGGUGGCAUAAUGCUGGAUUUUCAAGUUCAAAAAUUCCAAAUUCCAAAUUCAUGGUUUCGUCUACCAUACAAAACUUCUCUUUUCGAAUUCUGAAUCCAAUAUCUCAAAUCAAACUCAAGUAUCAAAAUUCAAUUCUUAUCUACCAUUACUCUCAAAUGCAAAAUUCCAAAAACACUUCCAACGGGUUGAAAAUCCCUAGAAAUAAUACAAAAUUCCAAAAACAUUUCCAAGGGGGUUGAAAUUCUCUAGAAAUAGUACAAAAUUUAAUCCCAAUGGGUUGAAAAUCCCUAGAAAUAAUACAAAAUUCAAAAACAUUCCUAUUUGGUUAAAUUUCCCCUAAAAUAUUCCAAAUUCUAUCUUGGGUUGAAAGUCCCUUGAAAUAAUACAAAUUCGAUUUCCAAAAUUCCAACGGGUUGAAAUUCCCUUAAAUAUUUCAAAUUCUAAUGUCGGGUUGAAAUUCCCUUGAAAUACUCCAAGUUCUAAUGUCGGGUUGAAAUUCCCUUGAAAUACUCCAAGCUCUAAUGCCGGGUUGAAAUUCCCUUUAAAUAUUCCAAGUUCUAAUAUCGGGUUGAAAUUCCCUUUAAAUAUUCCAAGUUCUAAUGCCGGGUUGAAAUUCCCUUGAAAUACUCAAAGUUCUAAUGAGGGGUUGAAAGUCCCUUGAAAUAAUACAAAUUCAAUUUCCAAAUUCUAUCCCGGGUUGAAAGUCCCUUGAAAUAGCACAAAUUCAAUUUCUAAAUUCUACCGGGUUGAAAUUCCCUUGAAGUACUCCAAGUUCUAAUGCCAAGUUGAAAUUCCCUUUAAACAUUCCAAAUUCUAAUGUCGGGUUGAAAUUCCCCUAAAAUAUUCCAAAUUCUAUUGUUGGGUUGAAAUUCCCUUUAAAUAUUCCAAGUGCUUAUUCAAAAGAAGGUAGUCUCCAUAAAAGAAUGAAGCUCAUUUUCAAAUAUUUCCAAAGGGUCGUGAAUCCCGUUACAAGUACAAAUUCCAAUAGUUUCUUUCUUUGACGUACCUAGAUCAACUCAAAAAGUUCUAUGUCUAAAUUCAAAAUUCAAAUUCAAUGUUCAAAAAGUUUUGUAAGUUAGAACUACGUUCGGCCUGAUUCCUUAACGGGACACGUAAGCAACCUCAUUCCGAGGCCCGACCACCUUAAUACAAAAAAAAAAAUCAAAGUCUCCUCAAUCAAGGGCUUCCUAAAAAUCAAAUCAAAUUCAAAGUUCAAUGUUGUUGUUGUUAUUAUUCCAAAUGUGCAAAUCAAAUAAAAAGCAUGUUCAAGCGGAAUUUGGCACAACUUUCAAAUAACUGUUAUUUUGGCUCUAAAGCCUCAAUCCAAGCUAAUUCGAUUACAAGGUUGGGAUCAAGUGAAGCAAAGUUAUUCAAAGACUUUUUCACUUCCACUAAGCACAUUUUAUAAACACAUUUAUAAACACACUCUAAAACACGUUCCCUGCAAAUACAAUUCCAAACACUUCAAGCCUACAAAGAUCUGGGGUUGGGCGACCAUACUCUUGAGUCUUAGCACCUCGAGUACUAUCCCCUUGCCCUCCUCGCAAUCAUUCAUCCAUCUUCCCCUUACCCAAGCCGCGGGAGAAGGAACUAGCAAAUCUUCCAAGGCGGGAUGAUGAUGAGCCUCCUCUGAACCCCGAACGGUCAAGCAACGAAUGGGCCACACUCUCAUCUCCCUCCUCAUAAGCAAUUGAUGCAGGAUGUCUAGCUGUAGAACCUCUGACUCCCACAUACUCGGAAAAAGAAAUGUUCCUCUGGCUUUGUAAUCCCCCGUAAUUUUAUACAUUUUAUUAAUAUAUUUUAACGUAUAAGUAAUUAUAUUAAAAUAGAAUUUACGAAUUUUGAAAUAAAUAUUUAAGUAACGAAUAUUUAUUUUUAUACGUUUUAAAUAUUUCAACGAUUUAUGAAAUUAAAAUAAUUUUAGAACUUUUUGUUGAAAAGAAAUCGAAUUACGAAAACCGUUUGAAUUUGGAAAACAAUCCUAAUUGGUUUUGGAUUCAAAUACUUAAACUCAAUCCUAGUUCUAGCCCAAAUUGAUAAAGCCCAAAUAACAAAAACUCAAAUUCUUUACUCCCUCCUCUUUCUAUUUCACGUGAAAAGCAAAAAAACCCAAAACCCCUUCCCUUCUCUUUCACUUUCACGUGGAUUUCAAACCCUCAAGAACUCCCUCCCUCUCGCUGCCGUCCACCUCCUGCUCUCCUCACCGUCGACCUUGCGGUUGCCCAGCCGCCGCCGCAUCACCACCGCGCCGAGCAUUCGUAGCCUGGCUGUAACCGUCGCCCUGCGCCCUCGCCGUCCACCUUGCGCGCCACCGCAGGUAGCACCACCGUGUGCCGCCGUCGCUCAGCCCUGCCGCAAGCCACCUCUGUCCGCCGGCCAACUCUCUCUCCUCCUCCUUGAAUUGGCGGAGAAUUCUCUUUAGGCGACUUUUGAAAGUGUUAAAGUGGCCUAUCAGUUUGUUUACACAAGUAUCUAAGGAUCAAUAAGCGUUGCCCAUCUACAGGUUUGAAGAUGAUGCAUCAUUGGGAUCGGGAUUAGAGAGCUUGUAGUCUAUUUGUUUAAUUAAGUGAUUUGAUUUGUUAACUUGGAUUCGAACUUUGUCGUACUAUUCGUAUUUCCUUAUUUCAGUUAAUUGUUUUGGACCCAAUAUGUAAUGGAUUAUUUAUAAACCUAAAGUUAGUUUUAUGUUUUCCGCUGCAAAAUUCUGAAUAAGCCGUUACGUUUUCACACGGGCGAUAAUGCCUUGAUAAUUCUCUACGUUUUAUAUUAAAAGAUUAUUUUAGAAAAGAGAGAAUUGUCGGGGUAUUACAAAGUGGUAUCUAGAAGCUAAGGUUUUACUUUAAUAAAUUUUUAGGCGCCUAACUAUCUAGUAAUUUAAAAUCAACUUCUUAAAAAUCGAGCUUCUACGGAUUAUAGUGUUCAAAAAUUGGUAUUUUUUUUUG